rnacentral:lncRNA from 1 species
UUUUGGGGGCUUGGUUCGCUUCCAUAUCUUCCUGCAUAGAAGCUCUUGUUGCUCGUACAGCUGCUAGCCGUUUAUCAUUUUGUUCAAUGGUCUUGCUUCUCAGUAAUUCAUACUCUACCGCUUUCAGUUGUUCCACCGUGACCCCACCAUCUUUAGCUCUUCCGUUUGCGCUUGCCAUUUUUCCUCCUGCAAAAGAAACACUAUGUGAGUACAUCGCUGAAAAUACAAAACAUUAGAGGAUCAUACACAACACUUACUUUUUUUCAAUAUCACUUGCUUUAAGAACUAGUCCAUCUAUAUCUG